GAUGAACGCUGUCUACAGGCUUAACACAUGCAAGUCGAGGGGAAACGACGGGGAAGCUUGCUUCCCCGGGCGUCGACCGGCGCACGGGUGAGUAACGCGUAUCCAACCUGCCUCUGACUGAGGGAUAACCCGUCGAAAGUCGGCCUAAUACCUCAUGGCAUCGUCUGCGGGCAUCCAACGACGAUUAAAGAUUUCAUCGGUCAGGGAUGGGGAUGCGUCUGAUUAGCUUGUUGGCGGGGUAACGGCCCACCAAGGCUACGAUCAGUAGGGGUUCUGAGAGGAAGGUCCCCCACAUUGGAACUGAGACACGGUCCAAACUCCUACGGGAGGCAGCAGUGAGGAAUAUUGGUCAAUGGGCAGGAGCCUGAACCAGCCAAGUAGCGUGCAGGAUGACGGCCCUAUGGGUUGUAAACUGCUUUUAUGCGGGGAUAAAGUGAGGGACGUGUCCUUCAUUGCAGGUACCGCAUGAAUAAGGACCGGCUAAUUCCGUG
rnacentral:rRNA from 1 species